UACAGAGGGGGCAAGCGUUGUUCGGAAUUACUGGGCGUAAAGGGCGCGUAGGCGGCCUGUUAAGUCGAACGUGAAAUCCCCGGGCUCAACCCGGGAACUGCGUCCGAUACUGGCAGGCUUGAAUCCGGGAGAGGGAUGCGGGAUUCCAGGGUGUAGCGGUGAAAUGCGUAGAUAUCUGGAGGAACACCGGUGGCGGAAGGCGGCG
rnacentral:rRNA from 1 species